GAGUUUGAUCCUGGCUCAGAACGAACGCUGGCGGCAGGCCUAACACAUGCAAGUCGAGCGCGCCCUUCGGGGUGAGCGGCGGACGGGUGAGUAACGCGUGGGAACGUGCCCUUCUCUACGGAAUAGUCUCGGGAAACUGGGGGUAAUACCGUAUACGCUCUUCGGAGGAAAGAUUUAUCGGAGAAGGAUCGGCCCGCGUUGGAUUAGGUAGUUGGUGAGGUAACGGCUCACCAAGCCGACGAUCCAUAGCUGGUUUGAGAGGAUGAUCAGCCACACUGGGACUGAGACACGGCCCAGACUCCUACGGGAGGCAGCAGUGGGGAAUCUUAGACAAUGGGGGAAACCCUGAUCUAGCCAUGCCGCGUGAGCGAUGAAGGCCUUAGGGUUGUAAAGCUCUUUCAGCUGGGAAGAUAAUGACGGUACCAGCAGAAGAAGCCCCGGCUAACUCCGUGCCAGCAGCCGCGGUCA
rnacentral:rRNA from 1 species